rnacentral:rRNA from 1 species
UUGGCGACCGGCGCACGGUGAGUAACGCGUAUGCAACUUACCUAUCAGAGGGGGAUAGCCCGGCGAAAGUCGGAUUAAUACCCCAUGAAACAGGGGUCCCGCAUGGGAAUAUUUGUUAAAGAUUCAUCGCUGAUAGAUAGGCAUGCGUUCCAUUAGGCAGUUGGCGGGGUAACGGCCCACCAAACCGACGAUGGAUAGGGGUUCUGAGAGGAAGGUCCCCCACAUUGGUACUGAGACACGGACCAA